rnacentral:rRNA from 1 species
CCUUCGGGGGUAGAGCACUGUCAUGGUUGGGGGGUCUAUUGCUGAUUACCCCGCCAUAGCAAACUCCGAAUACCGAAGAGUGCAAUCACGGGAGACAGACAUCGGGUGCUAACGUCCGGUGUCAAGAGGGAAACAACCCAGACCGCCAGCUAAGGUCCCUAAGAUUGGCUAAGUGGGAAACGAAGUGGGAAGGCUAAAACAGUCAGGAGGUUGGCUUAGAAGCAGCCACCCUUUAAAGAAAGCGUAAUAGCUCACUGAUCGAGUCGUCCUGCGCGGAAGAUGUAACGGGGCUAAGCCAGUCACCGAAGCUGCGGAUGCACGUAAGUGCAUGGUAGGAGAGCGUUCUGUAAGCCUGUGAAGGUGUCUUGUAAAGGAUGCUGGAGGUAUCAGAAGUGCGAAUGCUGACAUGAGUAGCGAUAAAGGGGGUGAAAGGCCCCCUCGCCGUAAGCCCAAGGUUUCCUACGCAACGUUCAUCGGCGUAGGGUGAGUCGGCCCCUAAGGCGAGGCAGAGAUGCGUAGCUGAUGGGAAGCAGGUUAAUAUUCCUGCACCGUCGUAUGAUGCGAUGGGGGGACGGAUCGCGGAAGGUUGUCCGGGUGUUGGAAGUCCCGGUCCCUACAUUGGAGAUGGCACUUAGGCAAAUCCGGGUGCGUGAUUCAAGGGUGUGGGGCGAGCGACGUUAGGUCGCGAAGCAAUUGGAAGUGGUUCCAAGAAAAGCCUCUAAGCUUCAGUCAUACGAGACCGUACCGCAAACCGACACAGGUGGGCGAGAUGAGUAUUCUAAGGCGCUUGAGAGAACUCGGGAGAAGGAACUCGGCAAAUUGGUACCGUAACUUCGGGAUAAGGUACGCCCUUGUAGUUUGACUGGCUCGCGCCAGAAGGAUGAAGGGGUUGCAAUAAAAUGGUGGCUGCGACUGUUUAAUAAAAACACAGCACUCUGCAAACACGAAAGUGGACGUAUAGGGUGUGACGCCUGCCCGGUGCCGGAAGAUUAAAUGAUGGGGUGCAAGCUCUUGAUUGAAGUCCCGGUAAACGGCGGCCGUAACUAUAACGGUCCUAAGGUAGCGAAAUUCCUUGUCGGGUAAGUUCCGACCUGCACGAAUGGCGUAACGAUGGCCACACUGUCUCCUCCCGAGACUCAGCGAAGUUGAAGUGUUUGUGAUGAUGCAAUCUCCCCGCGGCUAGACGGAAAGACCCCAUGAACCUUUACUGUAGCUUUGCAUUGGACUUUGAACCGAUCUGUGUAGGAUAGGUGGGAGGCUUUGAAACCGGGACGCUAGUUUCGGUGGAGCCGACCUUGAAAUACCACCCUGGUUUGUUUGAGGUUCUAACCUUGGCCCGUGAAUCCGGGUCGGGGACAGUGCAUGGUAGGCAGUUUGACUGGGGCGGUCUCCUCCCAAAGUGUAACGGAGGAGUUCGAAGGUACGCUUGGUACGGUCGGACAUCGUACCUAAAGUGCAAUGGCAAAAGCGUGCUUAACUGCGAGACCGACAAGUCGAGCAGGUGCGAAAGCAGGACAUAGUGAUCCGGUGGUUCUGUAUGGAAGGGCCAUCGCUCAACGGAUAAAAGGUACUCUGGGGAUAACAGGCUGAUACCGCCCAAGAGUUCAUAUCGACGGCGGUGUUUGGCACCUCGAUGUCGGCUCAUCUCAUCCUGGGGCUGUAGCCGGUCCCAAGGGUAUGGCUGUUCGCCAUUUAAAGAGGUACGUGAGCUGGGUUUAAAACGUCGUGAGACAGUUUGGUCCCUAUCUGCCGUGGGCGUUGGAAUCUUGACGGGGGCUGCUCCUAGUACGAGAGGACCGGAGUGGACGUACCGCUGGUGUACCUGUUGUCUCGCCAGAGGCAUCGCAGGGUAGCUAUGUACGGAAGAGAUAACCGCUGAAAGCAUCUAAGCGGGAAACUCGCCUGAAGAUGAGGAUUCCCUGGAGACUUGAUCUCCCUGAAGGGUCGUUCGAGACCAGGACGUUGAUAGGCUGGGUGUGGAAGCGCAGUAAUGCGUUCAGCUAACCAGUACUAAUUGCCCGUGCGGCUUGAUCCU